CAGUCGCCGCGGUAAUACGGAGGGAGCUAGCGUUGUUCGGAAUUACUGGGCGUAAAGCGCACGUAGGCGGUUAUUCAAGUCAGAGGUGAAAGCCCGGGGCUCAACCCCGGAACUGCCUUUGAAACUAGAUGACUGGAAUCUUGGAGAGGUCAGUGGAAUUCCGAGUGUAGAGGUGAAAUUCGUAGAUAUUCGGAAGAACACCAGUGGCGAAGGCGACUGACUGGACAAGUAUUGACGCUGAGGUGCGAAAGCGUGGGGAGCAAACAGGAUUAGAGACCCCAGUAGUCCCUGUCUCUUAUAC
rnacentral:rRNA from 1 species